rnacentral:rRNA from 1 species
AGAGUUUGAUCCUGGCUCAGGACGAACGCUGGCGGCGUGCCUAACACAUGCAAGUCGAACGGGAUCGGGGGCAACUCCGGUUCAGUGGCGGACGGGUGCGUAACACGUGAGGAACAUGACUUUCGGUGGGGGAUAGCCGGCCCAACGGCCGGGUAAUACCGCGUACGACCUCUCGGGGACAUCCCCGGUUGGUGAAAGCAGCAAUGCGCCGAAAGAGUGCCUCGCGGCCUAUCAGCUAGUUGGUGGGGUAAUGGCCCACCAAGGCGACGACGGGUAGCUGGUCUGAGAGGAUGGCCAGCCACAUUGGGACUGAGACACGGCCCAGACUCCUACGGGAGGCAGCAGUGGGGAAUAUUGCGCAAUGGGCGAAAGCCUGACGCAGCGACGCCGCGUGUGGGAUGACGGCCUUCGGGUUGUAAACCACUGUCGGGAGGGACGAAUGCGCCGCAAGGGGAGUGACGGUACCUCCAAAGGAAGCACCGGCUAACUCCGUGCCAGCAGCCGCGGUAAUACGGAGGGUGCGAGCGUUGUCCGGAAUCACUGGGCGUAAAGGGCGCGUAGGCGGCCUGGUAAGUAGGGGGUGAAAUCCUGCGGCUUAACCGCAGGGCUGCCUUCUAAACUGUCAGGCUCGAGCACAGUAGAGGCAGGUGGAAUUCCCGGUGUAGCGGUGGAAUGCGUAGAGAUCGGGAAGAACAUCAGUGGCGAAGGCGGCCUGCUGGGCUGUNNCUGACGCUGAGGCGCGACAGCGUGGGGAGCAAACAGGAUUAGAUACCCUAGUAGUCC